AUCAACGCUGACGGCGCGCCUAACACAUGCAAGUCGAACGAGAAAGCAGGAGCAAUCUUGUGAGUAAAGUGGCGUACGGGUGAGUAACACGUGGAUUAUCUACCCUCUUGUGGGGAUAACCCUGGGAAACCGGGGCUAAUACCGCAUAAGCUCGAGAGAGGAAAGCAGCAAUGCGCAGGAGGAGGAGUCGCGGCCGAUUAGCUAGUUGGUAGGGUAAAAGCCUACCAAGGCAACGAUCGGUAGCCGGCCUGAGAGGGCACACGGCCACACUGGCACUGAAACACGGGCCAGACUCCUACGGGAGGCAGCAGUGGGGAAUCUUGCACAAUGGGGGCAACCCUGACUGCAGCGAAUGCCGCGUGGAGGAUGAAGGUCCUUCGGGAUUGUAAAGCUCCUUUCGAGCAGGGACGAUUAUGACGGUACCUGAAGAAUAGCAGCUGCGGCUAACUCCGUGCCAGCAGCCGCGGUAAUACGUAGGCAGCAAGCGUUGUUCGGAGUUACUUGGGCGUAAAGGGCUGUGUAGGCGGUGCUGUAAGUCUGGUAGUGAAAUCUCCCGGCUCAACUCGGGAGGGCUGCUGAGGAAACUGGACGUGCUUAGAGUGUGGGAUGAGGUGAGUGGAAUUCCCUGGUGUAGCGGUGAAAUGCGUAGAUAUCAGGAGGAACACCUGUGGCGUAGACGGCUCUCUGGACCAGCAACUGACGCUGAGACACGAAAGCGUAGGGUAGCAAACAGGAUUAGAUACCUGGUAGUCCUAGCCCUAAACGAUGAUAUGCUUGGUGUGCAGGUACCAUCAUCUGUCCGUGCCGGAAGCUAACGCGAUAAAGCAUGCCGCCUGGGAGUACGGUCGCAAAGGCUGAAACUCAAAGGAAUUGACGGGGGCCCGCACAAGCGGUGGAGCAUGUGGUUCAACUCGACGCAACGCGAAGAACCUUACCUGGGCUCGAACGGCUCACGAACGUCCUGAGAAAUCAGGGAUUUCCCGCAAGAGACGGAGCUCGUAGGUGCUGCAUGGCUGUCGUCAGCUCGUGUCGUGAGAUGUUGGGUUAAGUCCCGCAACGAGCGCAACCCUUUGUCCUAUGUUACCAUGCAGUAAAGUUGGGCACUCUGCAGGAGACCGCCUCGGAUAAGCGGGGAGGAAGGUGGGGAUGACGUCAAGUCCUCAUGGCCUUUAUGUCCAGGGCUACACACGUGCUACAAUGGGCGGUACAAACGCGUUGCGCAAGCCUGCAAGGUGAGCCUAAUCGAAGAAAGCCGACUCUCAGUUCGGAUUGCAGGCUGCAACUCGACUGCCAUGAAGCUGGAAUCGCUAGUAAUCGCGGAUCAGCAUGCUGCGGUGAAUACGUUCCCGGGUCCUUGUACACACCGCCCGUCACAUCCAUGAGAGUGGGCCGUACUGCCAGAAGUAGUUAGGGCCUAACCCGCAAGGAGGGCGAUUACCACGGCCCAGGGUACUCAGUGACUUG
rnacentral:rRNA from 1 species